UACGGGAGGCAGCAGUGGGGAAUAUUGCGCAAUGGGGGAAACCCUGACGCAGCAACGCCGCGUGAAUGAUGAAGGCCUUCGGGUUGUAAAGUUCUGUCUUCUGGGACGAUAAUGACGGUACCAGAGGAGGAGCCACGGCUAACUAA
rnacentral:rRNA from 1 species